AUGGAGCGAAACAUCAUCGUCCUCCUAUCCCUUCUUCUCUGCCUCCUCUCGUGCCAUGUAUCCGCAGCCGGCGCCACCGCCAAGCGGCGGCUCUCGUCGCCGCUGUCGCGUCCCCAUCGUGUGAUCACGGCGGAGGCGGCGCCGGCCACGACGGUGCCGGCGAUGGUGCAGUAUGAAACGCGGUACCACACACAGCGGCUGGACCACUUCAACGCGGCGCCGGCGAGCUACCGCACGUUCCCGCAGCGCUACCUGGUGAACGGCACGUACUGGGGCGGCAAGACGGCGCCGGUGUUCGUGUAUGCCGGUAACGAAGGCAACAUCGAGCUCUUCACCAACAACACCGGCUUCAUGUGGGAGCUCGCGCCUCGCUUCCGCGCCAUGCUCGUCUUCAUCGAGCAUCGAUACUACGGGCGAUCGGUACCGUUCGGGAGCGAGGAGGCAGCAUUCAGGAACACGAGCACGGCGGGGUACCUGACGACGACGCAGGCUGUCGCCGACUUCGCCACGCUCGUCCAAAGCCUCAAGGCCAACCUCAGCGCACCGACCGCCCCCGUCGUCGUCUUUGGCGGCUCCUACGGCGGCAUGCUGGCAGCGUGGAUGAGGAUGAAGUACCCGCACGUGGUCAUUGGCGCCGUCGCGUCGUCGGCACCAAUCCUCAGCUUCUACGGCAUGGCCGACCCCUACGCCUUCUACGACAUCAUCUCCAACGAUUUUAAGAGCGAGAGCAAGAAUUGCCACGACGUACUCAUGAACUCGUGGAAGGAGCUGGACAAGGCGCUGUCCAAUGACGCCGGCCGGGCGCAGCUCAACAGUACGUUCAAAAUGUGCCGAGGUAGUACAGUGGAGGCGAUACCGGACUUGCUCGACACCGCCAUCGUCUACUCCGCCAUGACGGACUACCCGACGGAGUCCGGCUUCCUCACCCACCUCCCGGCCUAUCCCGUCAAAGAGAUGUGCCGCGCGAUCGACAACCCGAAGUCGGGCAAGGACACCUUCUCGAGGGUCAACGACGCCUUGAUGGUCUACUACAACUACACCGGCAACACGCACUGCCUCGGCGACGCCACCGAGCAUGACCCUUACGGCAUGUUCGACGGCUGGGACUUUCAGGCGUGCACGGAGAUGAUCCUCAUGAGCUACGGCGUCCGCAACGGCAGCGUUCUGCCGCCGGAGCCCUUCAACUUCACCAAGCUCCUCGACGGCUGCCGCGCCUCCACCGGCCUGCCGCCGCGGCCAUACUGGAUCCCCACAGAGUUCGGAGGAUUCGAUAUUGCAAAUGUUUUGAAGAGAUCAGCUAGCAACAUCAUCUUCUUCAACGGGCUCCGAGAUCCAUGGAGCAGUGGCGGCGUACUGAAGGACAUCUCAAGAAGCAUCGUUGCACUGGUUGAGCCAAAAGGUUCACACCACGUAGACUUGAGAUUCUCCAGCAAGGACGACCCUGAUUGGCUUAAGCAGGUGCGGGAAAAGGAGACGAGAAUCAUAGGGCAUUGGCUCAAUCAAUACUACAAAGAUGAAGCCAUAAAGUCCUAG
rnacentral:rRNA from 1 species